rnacentral:rRNA from 1 species
GGUCCCAAGGGUUUGGCUGUUCGCCAAUUAAAGCGGUACGCGAGCUGGGUUCAGAGCGUCGUGAGACAGUUCGGUCCCUAUCUGCUGCAUCCGGUGGAUGCCUGAGGGGUCCUGCUUUUAGUACGAGAGGACCGAAGUGGACGCACCUCUGGUGUACCGGCUGUCCCGCCAGGGGCAACUGCCGGGUAGCCACGUGCGGAAGGGAUAACCGCUGAAAGCAUCUAAGCGGGAAGCCCUCCUCAAGAUGAGACAUCCCCGACCCCUCGAGGGUCCUGAAGGAAACAGACAGACCAUCUGUUCGAUAGGCCGGAGGUAUAAGCACGGCGACGUGUUCAGCCUACCGGUACUAAUAAGCCGUGAGGCUUGACCAU